rnacentral:lncRNA from 1 species
CUACAUAGAUGAUAACAUCCCAGAUAUGGGGUCAGGGCGCGCCCGUCUAGCACUUGAUCUCCUUCAGCCCGUGCGCGAAGUAGAGGAAGGUUGGGUCGGUGGCUCCAUCCUUGUAGUAGGCGAACACCAGGCUUCCAUCAUCAUGCAUGCUCUCGCCAACAAAGCUGCAAAAAACCAGACAAACAUUUAGUACGAGCUAUUCACGGAAUUUAGUUGUGAAGCAAAAUGACAGAAAGCAGCAGUACAAAAAUCAGUAAUAGAACAAUAAUGCAGACAGCACAACCUAUCAUUCUAGCUCGAGCAACACGAAUUUAAACACAAUGGCGAAUAAGAACAUAGAAAGCAAACAUCAAAAAUGGAUGCCACACUGCAAAAGAAUAUAGGUACUUACAACUAAUAUAACAUAUUUUUAAUUAACCCAGAGCAGUACAAAAAUUAUUUUUGCACAAGAGUGUAUGAAAAUAUAUUAUAAUUCAAGCUCCAUGCAGAAUCAUAGGUGAGAAUUCAACGAUAGCACAAGCAACUUGAAUCCAAGUAAUAACAAAAGAAAAUUGCACAAGCAACGUGAAUCUAAGUAACAAAAGAAAACUAUGUGAUUAAAUCCACCGAGGUACAGUUUUCAUGAACAGCUACCAGAAUGGUACUUCAGAGAGAAUCACUAGACACUAGAUAUCAAAUAUAUAGCAUGAUUCGGGUAUAGAACUUACAACUGGAGGUCCUUGAGCUUUCCAAGAAGGUACUUGGUGGCACCCUCAAUGCCCUUCUUGAAUUCCGCUUGCUGCUCCGGCUCCAGCUUGGCAGUAAGGUUCUUGAUGUAGCGCUUCAUGAAGGUCACAAACUGCUUCUUGUCAAAGGCAGGUUGCUCCUGCAAAUGUGAUUACAUGGUUAGUACAAACUCAAAGAACAGAAAUAUAACCAGGGCAACAGAACUCCAGAUGAGUUAGCAACCUGAAGACGGAAGGUGUCAACAAUGUCAACAACCUUCACCGCCUGAUCAUCAACACCCUCAUCAUCGCCACCACCCUCGGCAGACGGGUUGGCACCAAUGUCAACAUCUACAGCUCCUUGGACGACC